rnacentral:rRNA from 1 species
GGUGAAAGGCCAAUCAAACCGGGAGAUAGCUGGUUCUCCCCGAAAGCUAUUUAGGUAGCGCCUCGUGAACUCAUCUUCGGGGGUAGAGCACUGUUUCGGCUAGGGGGUCAUCCCGACUUACCAACCCGAUGCAAACUGCGAAUACCGAAGAAUGUUAUCACGGGAGACACACGGCGGGUGCUAACGUCCGUCGUGAAGAGGGAAACAACCCAGACCGCCAGCUAAGGUCCCAAAGUCACAGUUAAGUGGGAAACGAUGUGGGAAGGCUCAGACAGCCAGGAUGUUGGCUUAGAAGCAGCCAUCAUUUAAAGAAAGCGUAAUAGCUCACUGGUCGAGUCGGCCUGCGCGGAAGAUGUAACGGGGCUAAACUGUGCACCGAAGCUGCGGCAGCGACGCUUAUGCGUUGUUGGGUAGGGGAGCGUUCUGUAAGCCUGCGAAGGUGUCCUGUGAGGGAUGCUGGAGGUAUCAGAAGUGCGAAUGCUGACAUAAGUAACGAUAAUGCGGGUGAAAAGCCCGCUCGCCGGAAGACCAAGGGUUCCUGUCCAACGUUAAUCGGGGCAGGGUGAGUCGACCCCUAAGGCGAGGCCGAAAGGCGUAGUCGAUGGGAAACGGGUUAAUAUUCCCGUACUUGGUGUUACUGCGAAGGGGGGACGGAGAAGGCUAUGUUGGCCGGGCGACGGUUGUCCCGGUUUAAGCGUGUAGGCUGGUUUUCCAGGCAAAUCCG